rnacentral:rRNA from 1 species
GAUGAACGCUAGCGGCAGGCCUAACACAUGCAAGUCGAGGGGCAACUUGAUUGAUAGCAAUAUUAAUUAAGCUAGACCGGCGCACGGGUGCGUAACACGUAUGCAAUCUACCUUGUACUGGGGCAUAACUUCGAGAAAUCGAUGCUAAUUCCCCAUAAUGUCAAGAUGUGGCAUCACAUUUUGAUUAAAGAAUUUCGGUACAAGAUGAGCAUGCGUCCAAUUAGCUAGUAGGCAAGGUAAUGGCUCACCUAGGCGACGAUUGGUAGGGGUUCUGAGAGGAUGAUCCCCCACACUGGUACUGAGACACGGACCAGACUCCUACGGGAGGCAGCAGUGAGGAAUAUUGCGCAAUGGACGAAAGUCUGACGCAGCCAUGCCGCGUGAAGGAUGACUGCCCUAUGGGUUGUAAACUUCUUUUGUAUGGGAAUAAACCCCCGCUCGUGAGCGGGGCUGAAGGUACCAUAAGAAUAAGCACCGGCUAACUCCGUGCCAGCCGCCGCGGUAAAAC